rnacentral:lncRNA from 10 species
CUGGGAUUAUAGGUGUGAGCCACCAUGCCCCGCCCAAAGGGAGAAUGUUCUAAUGCAGCCCUGUGGGAUGACUUGGCUGCAGGAAGUUACAUAAAGGUGACUUAGGUGUUACAGUGACAUGAGAGACCUAAAGGCUGUCAAAGACUGUGACCUCUACCCCAUGGAGGAUGCCCAUCGCCUGAGGAUGAACCCCCACUCCAGAUCAAAAUAUAAAGGAGCAGGGUUGCAGCUCACCUGGGCUGGGGAUUACCCGGACUCUUCAGAAAACAAAACUUACACUUUGUCAUGGAGCAGCUAGAAAUUCACCUCAACAUACUCAAUAAUUCAGCAUGUUUGAGCACAUAUUCCAUGCCAGGCACAGUGCUGGAACAGGGACAGCUGGAACAAAGUGGGAGACCCUCUAGCCACCAGGAUCCCAGAGAAGAAGCGAAGUGACUUGCCUAGAACACCAACCAAAAAUGACGGAGCCAAAAGCUAAAGGAAAUCUGACAAAGCAAUGAGUCUAUAGUGGAAGAAAUUAUUAGCCUCAGGUGGACAUCAUUUGGAUCCAACCUACAUCACCUACUGGCUGUAGGACCAUGAGCAAGUUAUUUAAGCUCUCUGUCCCAGUGUCUUCAUUCACAAAUUGAAAUGGACCAUGCCCACCCCUCGGGGGGUUUGUGACAGUUAAGCGAAAUAACACAUAAAUGGCGCUCAAUACAUACGUGUAGCAUGUAAGUAGAACUCAAUAAAGACUCAUUCCUUUAGUUGACAGCUUAUUCAAAUCUAUCAUAGUUUUUGUUGUUGUUGUUGUUGUUGCUCUUGCUUUGUUUUGUUUUUUAAACCACAGGGCCAGAGCUGGGUCAAGGAGGAAGGAGGAGAAGGAAGAGCAUCCUUUAGCCGCCCUCUGACUCUGCCUUUUCGGGUCUCGCUCCUGGCCUCACUGUAGACAUCAUCCCCAGGCACACCUCCUCCGCACCUCCUUCCUGCUAUAGAGUACAGUCCCACAGGCGAGCCAACCCGGUCACAAAUGCCCUGAGACUUGCACCUUUCUCCUGAAACGGAGUGCUCUGGCCGGCUUUCGUAUCCCCCUUAGCCCUGCUCCUCAUCUCUGGGGCUGCUUUACCUGCAAAGUCUAAUCAAGAAAGGGAUGGGGACGCUGAGAAGGAGGAGUCUUUACCCGAAUCCUGUUCCCAUUUCUACCACCAGCAGCACCCCUUAGGCGAGUUAAGCUUUGGGACCAAAGGGGUCCACUCGGUUUCUCUGAGAAACUGGCAGAUCCUAUUUUUCAGAGUCAUCUGCAACAAUGUCUCCUUGCAAGGUGGCUUUGACUCCCCCACGGGGAGGUGGGGCCUAGGUUCCCUCCCUCUGAACCUGGCAGUCACAGAAAGAACACUCUCGUGACCGCCAAGGCCAGGUCAUAAAAGGUGCUACCACUUCUGCCUGGAUGCCUUCUAUAAUUGUCAUCCUCACUGACCUGACACAGAGAAGUUCAACGUCCAAAGGUCCAAGAAAGGUGGAGGCGAGACAGGGACUAGGACUUGGCCGCACUGUGCCCUGAGUCGGGAUGCAGGGCUGGUUGUGGCUGAUUCCCAUGCCCCACAGCUGAGCCCUUUUCCCCACUGGCACUUUGAUCCACCUCCAGGCACGUGACCUAAGUCCCUAUGGGGCACAAUGCUAAACAGGUGACAUGCACCCAGAGGCAAAAGGGGAAAUGGACCAUCUCCCUGGGACAAGGCAGCUGGUAUAGCUACUGUUGGGUGACAGUCGCCCUGCAGGAAGGAGGGCUUGGUCCUGGGGCUAGGUCCUCCCACCUCCACUUUCACUUCCAUGACUCCUACUGGCUUCAGAGCAUGAAGGAUCCUCUGACCCUGGAAUCUUACCUCGAGCACCUCUGCCAAGGAAAGGGGAGAGAAGUUGCCUUUCCACUGUAGGCCACCUUUUAUGUCUUAGUAGAGUGCUGGGGCAUUUUGAUCCAGGGAGGCAGAAGGAGGCACAAGAGGAGACAGACACAGACAAAGGGAGGCAGAGACUGCUGAGAGCUCAGGAGAUGAGUCUGGCUCAGCAGGGCCUGUGGUUUGCCCACUCUGUGCUCUGCACCAAGGGUUAAAAGGUGCCCUGUCCUCAGGAUACUUGAAAUCUAGUGGGGAUUUGGACACCGACAUAAACAAAGUCAUGUACUAAGGAAGCUGAGCUUGGUAAAGAAAGCAGAAGUAAAGAGCUGGGCCCCACAAACUCUGAGCUCCAGAGAAGGCUGCAAAGAGAAGGCUGAGUUCUGAAGGCUCUGUCCAGUGCCUUUCACCCCAAGGCCUUCGUAGUGUUAACACAGCAUUUACGUGUUUAAGUCCUCCCUACGUGUCAGGCAUGAUUUUACGCCCUUGACUUGUUUGACUUCAUUUAAUCAUCGACAAGUCUAGGUGGCUGAUACUCUUACCUGUUUGUUUGUUUAUUUAUUUAUUUUUGAGACAGUGUCGCUUGCCCCAGGCUAGAGUGCAGCAGUGUGAUCAUAGCUCACUGCCAUCUUGAAUUCCUCUGCUCAAGUCAUCCUCCCACAUCAGCCUCCCAAGCAGCUGGGACUACAGGUGUGCACCAUCAUGGCCAGCUAACUUUGUACUGUCUGUAGAGACGGAAUUUUGCUAUGUUACCCAGGCUGGUCUCAAACCCGAGGGCUCAAGCAAUCCUCCUGCCUCAGCCUCCCAAAGUCCUGGGAUUAAAGGCAUGAGUCACCAUGCCCAGCCAGUGGUUGAAACUCUUAUUAUGGCCAUUCUGCGGAUGAGAAGACUGAGUCAUCAGGAGGCAGGGCUUGCCAAGGUCACUGUGUUGGGGAAACACAGUCAGGAUAUGAACUCAGGCUCUUGGGGUCCCUGCUGGUCACUGUCACCCCGUGGCCCUUCUGAAGAAUGUCACAGGAAAGCAAAGCUGAGAGGGCCUCGUGAACUCAUCCAUGCCUGUCUCCCACACUGACCUGCACCUUUGGUCCCAGAGGUGCUUAUGAAAGACAGAUGCUCAGAUCCCUCCUUAGAGAGUCAGAUUCAGGAGGUCUGAUGUGAAUCCCAGAGACCUGGAAUUUUACUGAUGGCCCAGAUAAUUUUUAUGGUCAGAUACUGACCUAAUUCCACCCAGUUUCCCACUAAAUUUUGUAAGUGAGGAAAGCAAUGCAGAAGAGUUACAGGAAGGCCCAGUGUUACAUGCCCAGGUCAUGGCCCAGGGCCAAGCCAGCCCCAAAGGUGGGACCCUGGUUCUCUUAGCCUUCCCUGACACCUGUCACCCUGGCUGCUGCUCCAGGGAACCCUCUCUCGGGAGAAGCUUGAGCAAAUGUUGAUCUUCCCAGAACAGGGGUCUACAGAAUCCAGAGGUGUGGAAACAGUGGGAUGCUAAUAGCUGUUAGAAUUUUGGUUCAUCCAUAGAUCCAAACUUUGAAGCAUUGAGACAAAAGAUAGCUGUGCUUUGAUAGAGAAAAUAGAUAAGAAAAGGGUGUGAAAUCUGAGUGUCACAACAGAGGCAGAAGCAGAUGGAAACUAGGUUUCUGGAGUAGGGGAGGUGGGGACCAACUUUGUUUCUCCUGCUUUUACCUUGUCCUAGUUGGAAUCAUCUCUCCUCAUCCCAGUUACAAAGCCAGAGAGGAUUUACAGUCAAAGCAUCUACACCAGCAGUCCCUCUUACUGACACUGAUCAGACAGGGAGGUAGAACUGAUGGAAAACACAGCACAGCAUCAGAAGCAUAGCUUGGGAGCUUAUUAGCAGCAAAGUGCUGUUCUCUGCGGCAUUUUCUGGUGCUCCAGAAAUACAUCCCCUUGGAUGGAGAUACUACCGGGCCAUCUAAUGUGAAAUUUUCUGCUGGAGUGGUUAACGCUGGAGAUUUCCUUGAAAAACAUCGCCACUGAGAGAGGCUGGCUUCAAGUUUCAUAUAUAUGUAUAUGUAUCUGUGUGUGUGUGUGUGUAUGUGUGUGUCCAUGUGUGUGUAUAUAUAUUUUUAUAUAUAAAUACAUGUGUAUUUAUAUAUAUAAAUAAAUUUAUAAUGUAAUAUAUAAAUAUUUAUAUAUAAAUAA